rnacentral:rRNA from 1 species
AACGUAGGACGCAAGCGUUAUCCGGAAUUACUGGGCGUAAAGCGCGUGUAGGUGGUUUGAUAAGUCACUGUUGAAAGCUCCCGGCUAAACUGGGAGAGGUGCGGUGAGACUGUCAGGCUAGAGUACGGGAGAGGGAUGCAGAAUUCCGGGUGUAGUGGUGAAAUGCGUAGAGAUCCGGAGGAAUACCAGAGGCGAAGGCGGCAUCCUGGCCUGAAACUGACACUGAGACGCGAAAGCAUGGGGAGCGAACGGG